AUACACAUGUUUAUUUAGUUCAAGGCCCUUCCCACUUGGCCUAAAUGUUCAAGGAUGAUGAUGAUGGGAGCUUGUUCUUGCUUAAUAUGCAGGUGUCACAGUACAGUGAGGCAAGAAGCAUACCCGGAGCAAUCAAAGCAGGACUGGACAUGAUCGACCGACAAGACUGGUCGUUGCUGCCGGUGGGCUAAACCAAAGAGAAGCUGUAUGAGGACCUGUUCAGGGAAGUCUUCACCAAAGCUGAUCGUGCUGGCACUCUAAUCUUGGACUUCGUUUCCAGAACUAUGAGAAAUAAAUGUCUUAAG
rnacentral:lncRNA from 13 species